rnacentral:rRNA from 1 species
UACGUAGGGGGCAAGCGUUGUCCGGAUUUAUUGGGCGUAAAGAGCGUGUAGGCGGUUAGGUAGGUCCGUUGUGAAAACUCGAGGCUCAACCUCGAGACGCCGAUGGAAACCAUCUAACUAGAGUCCGGAAGAGGAGAGUGGAAUUCCUGGUGUAGCGGUGAAAUGCGCAGAUAUCAGGAAGAACACCCGUGGCUAAGGCGGCUCUCUAGUACGGUACUGACGCUGAGGUGCGAAAGCGUGGGGAGCAAACAGG